rnacentral:lncRNA from 10 species
GCUGUCCUCACUUUGGCUCAAGUAAACUCUUUAGAUUGUACUCUGUGUCUCAGCUUCUUCCUUUCAGGUGGAUACUGAGGGGAGUAAAUGAAUGGCUCCUGCUCUUUCUCUGUCUGAAGCUUGGACUAUUCAUGAGAGGACUUCCUACUCCAAGACAUAAGGGAGUCUUGCUCAGAAGGAGGAGCUCCUGUCUGCUGAGGACACGGUUCCAUCCAAUGAGGUCAGCAGGGCUAUCAGCAGCUUCCGUUAAUUCCGUUGGGGCAGGCGCUUGGCAAGCGGCAGUUAUUUGAGCUGAGGAUGCUGGGAUAGAUUUUAACAUGAGCAGUUGGCCCUUAGAUCAUGAGACCAGCUAAAGUGCCCAAGGAAAUGGAACAGCAGGGAGAGGGGACAUCACACACACCACCAAAACCUCUUCUUCAUCAUGGCCUAUGAACAGCCAAAGGGUAAAAUGAUCAGAAA